rnacentral:rRNA from 1 species
AUUGAACGCUGGCGGCAGGCCUAACACAUGCAAGUCGAGCGGCAACGGGACCUUCGGGUUGCCGGCGAGCGGCGGACGGGUGAGUAAUGCCUAGGAAUCUGCCUGUUAGUGGGGGAUAACGCGGGGAAACUCGCGCUAAUACCGCAUACGUCCUACGGGAGAAAGCGGGGGCUCUUCGGACCUCGCGCUAACAGAUGAGCCUAGGUCGGAUUAGCUAGUUGGUGGGGAAAUGGCCCACCAAGGCGACGAUCCGUAACUGGUCUGAGAGGAUGAUCAGUCACACUGGAACUGAGACACGGUCCAGACUCCUACGGGAGGCAGCAGUGGGGAAUAUUGGACAAUGGGCGAAAGCCUGAUCCAGCCAUGCCGCGUGUGUGAAGAAGGUCUUCGGAUUGUAAAGCACUUUAAGUCGGGAGGAAGGGCUGUAGGCUAAUACCUUGCAGUUUUGACGUUACCGACAGAAUAAGCACCGGCUAACUUCGUGCCAGCAGCCGCCGUAAUAC